AUAUAGCCCCGAUGGCAGCGGCAUCCUUUUUUGUUUAGCUUCGGCAGGCUCGGCCUGACAGCAAACAAAAAAGAUAUAGCGGACAGCGGGUUGGAAU
rnacentral:sRNA from 1 species